rnacentral:rRNA from 1 species
UACGGAGGGUGCAAGCGUUAAUCGGAAUUACUGGGCGUAAAGCGUGCGCAGGCGGUGAUGUAAGACAGUUGUGAAAUCCCCGGGCUCAACCUGGGAACUGCAUCUGUGACUGCAUUGCUGGAGUGCGGCAGAGGGGGAUGGAAUUCCGCGUGUAGCAGUGAAAUGCGUAGAUAUGCGGAGGAACACCGAUGGCGAAGGCAAUCCCCUGGGCCUGCACUGACGCUCAUGCACGAAAGCGUGGGGAGCAAACAGG